rnacentral:rRNA from 1 species
UACGAAGGGGGCUAGCGUUGUUCGGAUUUACUGGGCGUAAAGCGCGCGUAGGCGGACGUUUAAGUCAGGGGUGAAAUCCCAGGGCUCAACCCUGGAACGGCCUUUGAUACUGGACGUCUGGAGAUCGGGAGAGGUUGGUGGAAUUCCGAGUGUAGAGGUGAAAUUCGUAGAUAUUCGGAGGAACACCAGAAGCGAAGGCGGCCAACUGGCCCGAUACUGACGCUGAGGCGCGAAAGCCAGGGGAGCAAACGGG